rnacentral:rRNA from 1 species
GACAGAGGUGCCGAGCGUUAGGCGGAAUCACUGGGCUUAAAGCGUGUGUAGGCGGAUCCGUAAGUACCUUGUGAAAUCCCACGGCUCAACCGUGGAACUGCUUGGUAUACUGCGGGUCUUGAGCCACCUAGGGGCGAGCGGAACAAGUGGUGGAGCGGUGAAAUGCGUAGAGAUCCGGAAGAACACCGGUGGCGAAGGCGGCCUGCUGGGCUAUGGCUGACACUGAGGCGCGACAGCGUGGGGAGCAAACAGG